rnacentral:rRNA from 1 species
UACAGAGGUCUCGAGCGUUAGGCGGAAUCACUGGGCUUAAAGCGUGUGUAGGCGGAUUGGUAAGUACCUUGUGAAAUCCCACGGCUCAACCGUGGAACUGCUCGGUAUACUGCCUGUCUUGUGCAACCUAGGGGCGAGCGGAACAGAUGGUGGAGCGGUGAAAUGCGUAGAUAUCAUCUGGAACGCCAAUGGUGAAAACAGCUCGCUGGGGGUUUGCAGACGCUGAGACGACGAAAGCCAGGG